GGGCUGUGACUGAGUGGCGGACGGGUGAGUAACGCGUGGGUAACCUGCCCUGUACAGGGGGAUAACAGUCAGAAAUGACUGCUAAUACCGCAUAAGCGCACUGAGGUAGCAUUACCUUGUGUGAAAAACUCCGGUGGCACAGGAUGGGCCCGCGUCUGAUUAGCUUGUUGGCGGGGUAAAGGCCCACCAAGGCGACGAUCAGUAGCCGGUCUGAGAGGAUGAACGGCCACAUUGGAACUGAGACACGGUCCAAACUCCUACGGGAGGCAGCAGUGGGGAAUAUUGCACAAUGGGGGGAACCCUGAUGCAGCAACGCCGCGUGGGUGAAGAAGUAUUUCGGUAUGUAAAGCCCUAUCAGCAGGGAAGAUAAUGACGGUACCUGACUAAGAAGCUCCGGCUAAAUACGUGCCAGCAGCCGCGGUAAUACGUAUGGAGCAAGCGUUAUCCGGAUUUACUGGGUGUAAAGGGUGCGUAGGCGGCGCGCCAAGUCAGAUGUGAAAUGCCGGGGCUUAACCCCGGAGCUGCAUUUGAAACUGGCGUGCUUGAGUUCAGGAGGGGCAGGCGGAAUUCCUGGUGUAGCGGUGAAAUGCGUAGAUAUCAGGAGGAACACCAGUGGCGAAAGCGGCCUGCUGGACUGACACUGACGCUGAGGCACGAAAGCGUGGGGAGCAAACAGGAUUAGAUACCCUGGUAGUCCACG
rnacentral:rRNA from 1 species